GAGUUUGAUCGUGGCUCAGGAUGAACGCUGGCGGCGUGCUUAACACAUGCAAGUCGAACGGUCGCAAGACAGUGGCGCACGGGUGAGUAACACGUAGCUAACCUGCCUUCGAGUGCGGAAUAACGUCCCGAAAGGGAUGCUAAUACCGCAUAAGCUCACGGGAAGUAGAUGCCAGUGAGAAAAGGGGUAACUCGCUUGAAGAGGGGGCUGCGACCCAUCAGGUAGUUGGUGCGGUAAAAGCGCACCAAGCCGACGACGGGUAGGGGCCUGAGAGGGUGGUCCCCCACACUGGGACUGAGACACGGCCCAGACUCCUACGGGAGGCAGCAGUGAGGAAUAUUGCACAAUGGGCGAAAGCCUGAUGCAGCGACGCCGCGUGGGUGAAGAAGGUCUUCGGAUCGU
rnacentral:rRNA from 1 species